CUAGGAUCUCCAACUGUUGCACCUUUCUUCAAAGAUACGGGCUUCUACAAGGUUUUCAUCAUAGCUACUACAACAGGAGGUCCAGUAGCUCUGGGCUCAAUGCCAAAGCAACCAGAUCCAUGGAGUCUCUGGCCUCUACGUGGCUAACCAGAAGGCUUGGCAAAUUCAGGCUGGAAAUACAGAACAUGUAAUAGUUUGUCGGACAACUUUUAACCCAAUAUGGACAAGAUAUGGGAAGAAGCACACAAUCUUUUCUAGGACACAUCAUUUUAAGGGAAGAUGGGAGAGAUAUGAAGAAGCAGCUGUGGAGAUGCAACGCUGGACAUGAAAUGGGUGUGGAAGACAACGGAAAGCCAGUUGGUCAAGACCCUUGGGAAGAAAAGAAUCUUUAAAAGGUCUCUGUUAGCGUGGGACUAAAUUGUAAUCAGACAUUGUGAAUAAGAUGAAAUACUAAAGAAAGAAAGAAAGAAAAAUAUAGGGCACAUACAGAACUGAUCAAGAAGGGAUUAUCAAGAGACAAUUACUCAACUACCCAUUUGCAAGUGAGCAUAUUCUCACCCAACACUGUUUUCAGUUAUGAUUGAAUGGAAGCUCUAAUUGAAUAGUUCUUUGUGGUGUUCAAAGUCCAAGACAGCAAGUUGUUCUUUUGUAUGGGUUCAUAAGUUUUCCCAGAAUGAACUGUAAAACACUCAUGAUUUCCCUGAACUGUGGCAAAGUGACUUACCCAGUUUCUGGCAAAUUUAUUAAGCAAUACAGACUCCCUGCUUAAUCCAUUGGUUUAAACAAUAUUCAGUUAACACAAAUUAGUGAAUAAGCAGAGACAUAGGUCAGCUGAUCGAAGAAAGAUGUAAAAGUAAAUUAAAAUAAAAUUUAUUUGAAAACAGCAAUGGGUCAGAGCUAAAGCCCAGUACAAGUUAGAACAAAUAAAAACCCAUUAAUCUGAAAAACCUUCUUGGGUUUACAAGAAGGCUUUUCUGAUCUCAGGCUGUAUUUAUCCUCUAGAUGGAAAAAAAAGAGGAGCAAUAAAUCUCUUCAUAUCAAAGGCCUGUUCAGCAGAAAUGAAUUGAAAGUGUUGGGUCAAUUAGACUGAACUAGAUCUCCCCCAGGCAAACCUACUAUCGAUACAUAUUUAGCUUCCAGACACCUUUAAAGGCAGCCUGGGAAAGGCUGGCUAGCAAAGAAAAAAAAAGAUAAUUCUAAAAUUUGAGUUCCCUUUGAACUCCAUCCACUACAGCAAUAAAAAGAGCUGUUUCUGCUCUAUUGCAUUUUGUUGAAACAAAAAAAAAAUAGACUGGAGAAAUGAAUAAGCUCGGCAUAUUAUGUAGAUAAAAUGGUAUUAUG
rnacentral:lncRNA from 1 species